UGAGAUCAUGACCUGAGCUGAAACCAAGAGAUGGAGGCUUAACUGAGCCAUCCAGGUACCCCUAGAAGAAAGAAUUUUGACCUCUUGCUAAAAGGUUCCAAGACCCCUUUUUUUCUAUGAUAUCUGCCUUGAGGCUCAGGAAAUACCUCUACAUUGCUUAUUGGGUGACAGCAUUUGCUUUCCAGGCUUCUGGCCGAGGAGUUAUAAUUUCUCACAGGGAUUUAAAUCUUAAGUUUCCAACCUGAAAUCUGGAUUCUUGAGCUUGGGAAAGUAUUAUUUAAAACACUAGAUACUCAUUUUUAAAGUCAAGAAUUGUUAAAAAUUUAAUUCUUGAUUAUAUACAGUAUCAUUUAUCUUUACCCUCGGAUUUUACUUCUGUACUGUGCAAUUACAGGGGCAGCUUUCCCAAAUUGUGUAGAUAGCUAUUGUACAGAUAUCUCAAGUUCAGAGUCUCUUAGAAGUUUAAAAUAAUUAUCUUGGCAUCCACAUAGCUUUACAAAAAGCUCACAACAAGGAGAGUAUUUUCAUGGAUCUGUAGUAAUAUCAGGGAGUUACUGAUUAGAGCCCUUUGUUUUCCUUCUCUCUCCAGUCCAGCUGGCAUUCAGUCCUUUAAAGAAUGUGGCUGUGCAGUACUUUUGAUUACUAAUGACUUCUAUUAUCUUCUUCCCCAUUGUGUACAGAUGGGAGAAUCCUCAGCACAAGUGUCUACUACUAUUGGAUGGACAGCGGCAGAUGUUCACAGCGCGUCAUGAUUAAUUAGUUUAAAUUGAAAGGUCUAUCUGUGAGGUAGCUCAGAUUUAAGGGCAGUAGGCACGAACUGAAGUCACGUUUGCGCAGCGACUGAGGCAUUAACCAUGUUUUCAUUUAUACAGCUCUUCGUACAUGCAGCUUUUUAUUGUAAUAGUUGGAAGUGCUAGUUAUGUUGUAGUCUCAAAGUGGGGGGGUAGGGGAAAUUGGCUGAUCUUAAAGUUUGAGAGCAUAGUUUUUUUUCCUGCAGUGUAUAUUUACACUGAGCUAUGGAAUGGGGCAGGUUCUCUUAGCCUAAAUUUUGACCCUAUUUCAUAUUUUACAAAUUUACAUACUAUGUAUGUUUUCUUAAAGUACCCCUACCCCGAAAAAAUGACAGACCUGGGUAUAAUCUCUUAAUGGGCCUGAAUUGUGAACAAAAAAAUUGGUUUGCUUUGGGACUGUCUGACUAGCACACUAUAUCCUGUACUGAUGAGACUGUUAACUUGAACAGGAGGUAGAAUGCUGUCUUCAAAUGGAAAAGAACUAUAUUGCGCUGCUUUAUCUUGUCAGAAGACUAGGCAGGUGGUUUUGAUUUGGCCUCCACAAAUAUUUUAACUAUUUCUUGUUAGCUUCCUUUAUUGCCUCUGAGGUUGGUUAUGUGGUGAUCUUAAUGCUGACUUCUGGACCUCAAAUCCUGUUACUCCACAUCUGUGUUCAGUGCACUGUAAAAAUUAUAAUGGUCAGUCAGAGGAACCAAAUACUAUCAUACUUUUAAGAAAAAGUAUGUCUUAGCUCUGGAUAAAUUAGGAGCAACAGUCGGCUCUCCUUAGUGCUCAGAAUUUGUCCGACUGCUGUUAAUUAUUAGCCACGUCUAAAUUGGAUUGUCCUUGUUAAAAAAAAUAAAGUUUUCAUUGUGUUUUGACGUCAACCUACUGAACAAUUUCUUGUAUUUAUUCUGCUGACCUUAGUUUUCUGACAAGAUUAAUCCUCCCCCUUCCCCUUUUUCCCUUCCUGUACCCUUCCUCAUAAUGUAAAAUGUGACUUCAGACAGGUUUAGUUCCUUCAUGGGCUGUGAUAAUAAAAUGUCUCAUUAUCUAUCUCAUUCAUUUCACUUUUAUAAUUACUGUGAUUUUACAACAGAGCAAACAGCUGGCUUGACUUAUAGCCGUAUCCAGGGAAUAUUACAAACUUGACCCAGACAGACUUAAAACUGACUUUUCUUCCAACAAUUAAAGAGGAGAAUUCUUAACAGUGAUUAUUCAUGAAUCAGAGGAAAAAAACAUCAGUAUUGAAAUUCCAUCACAAAUUAAAAAAAACUAUUAUCACAGCCUUGUCCUGAAACCCUGGAUUAUUAUUGUUAAGAGAGCUAUUUCCACAAAGUGUUUGUUAGUUUGUUGGACGUUUGAGACCCCAGGAAAUCCCCUUUCUCGUAACGUUCUCCGCUUGGAUCUGAUCUCAACAGGGUGUCGUAGUCAUUCUUCAGCACAGUUCUUAAUUGGAGACCAAGAACCCUGGGCCUUUAGAGGUGGUCUAGCAGGAGAGUUCCAGCGUUUGCUGCCAAUUGAUGGGGCAAAUGAUCUCUUUUUUCAACCACCCCCAUUGACUCCUACCUCCAAAGUUUAUACUAUCAGACCAUAUUUUCCUAAAGAUGAGGCUUCCGUGUACAAGAUUUGCAGAGAAAUGUAUGACGAUGGAGUGGGUUUACCUUUUCAAAGUCAGCCUGACCUUAUUGGAGACAAGUUAGUAGGAGGACUGCUUUCCCUUAGCCUGGAUUACUGUUUUGUCCUAGAAGACGAAGAUGGCAUAUGUGGCUAUGCCUUGGGCACUGUAGAUGUGACCCCCUUCAUUAAAAAAUGUAAAAUUUCCUGGAUCCCCUUCAUGCAGGAGAAGUAUACCAAGCCAAAUGGUGACAAAGAACUCUCCGAGGCUGAGAAAAUAAUGUUGAGUUUCCAUGAAGAGCAGGAAGUGUUGCCAGAAACUUUCCUUGCCAACUUCCCUUCUCUCAUAAAGAUGGAUAUUCACAAAAAAGUAACUGACCCAAGUGUAGCCAAAAGCAUGAUGGCUUGCCUCCUGUCUUCACUGAAGGCUAAUGGCUCCCGGGGGGCUUUCUGUGAAGUGAGACCAGAUGAUAAAAGAAUUCUGGAAUUUUACAGCAAGUUAGGCUGUUUUGAAAUUGCAAAAAUGGAAGGAUUUCCAAAGGAUGUGGUUAUACUUGGUCGGAGCCUGUGAAAUUUGUUGGCACUGUGAACUGUCCGAAAGUCUCUGAACUUCACCUGGAGGGUGGUGGUUGGGGUCUUCAUACAGUUCAGCCUCUGGAAUGGCAAAAAAUCAGCCAAUUGGGAUUGGAAACGAAGACUAUGUAAAACUCACCUAUCACACUUUGAGAUUACUCAUUGGUUGGAAGAUAGUAUUGAUGCAAAUCCUUUCUGAAACAGAUGUGGGCCUCCUUUUUGGGUCUUGUGUUAGGUGCCAAGACCUCUUAUGUGGGCUUAUAGGGAGGAGGUCUUCAAUAAAUGUAGUCAGCACUGUGUUCUGCAUCCAGCGUGGUUGCAUUUCUCACCUAAGAGUAAUCAGAAUCAUUUUUCAUCCUCCUUGGCUUACUGGAUGAAAUGUCUUUCAUUCUUUGGAGACAUGGCAGAGAUGAGAAAGAUUUAGUGGGUUUCAGAGGCUUCAGAGUAGAGAUUCCAAGUGGGAUGGUUGUGGCAUAGUGUAAGCAGAAUAAAUGAUUUUAAUUUUGGGCAGUUUUCCUGCUCUUUGUAAAGCCAUGGCCAGUUGUCUCUUGUAAUGACCAUUGGUUCAGGCAUGUUGUGCUUUGUAGGGACAAAUGUGCAGUUGUUUGUGGCAAAAGCCUAAAAAUGGCAGACUUGUAAAUUUUUUUGUAUAUAAACUAGCUGUAACCUGACUAUCCUUUGUGUUCACUGUUUUUGUAAUUCUUUUUCCUUUUGAAAAAGGGUGUGGUUCAGGAUGGCGCACUUUGAAUAAUGUACAUUAGUGGAAGGUGGAUUUUCUUUACUUUUGUCUUUUUUUUUUUUUUUUCUUUAAAGUUUUAUUGUUUUUAGAGUGCCGCCCACCUAGGGCUAGGCCAUGACCACUUUGGGUAUGAGAGCCUAAUUUCAUGGGACUCAAGUCUUGCAAAGUGCAGUCACUUCUGGAAAUUAACCUCAAUGCAGGUCAGCAUGUGAAAUGUUAGUUUUGACAUCAAGUAGGGUUCAGGGACUUACUGGUCCCAUUUGCCCAGAGAUCAGUUGUCCUUUAAUUUCAAGACCUGUUACAACUGGUUUUAUUAAAUCAGAGUCUUUAAUUCAUGCAUGUUUGUAUCUGAUUUUUAAGAGAAACAAUGAGCACACUUUAACCAGUAAUUAAGGUUACCCUUUUUCCUUUUAACCACAGAUUCUGAAAGCUCCAUGUAUUUUAAUUUAGAUUUGGUAUUUUUAGGGGUUCUGAGCAUGAGGUUAGCAGGUAUUCUCUGGAGGAUUCAUUGUUUUCAUCAUGGCUGGCUGACUUCUCCAUGGAUUCCUAACAGUAUUUUGUUAUCUCACUUCCCUGUAGUUUCAUUAUCAGCUGUUUUACUUUGAGCUGAGGUGGGAGGGGCAAGGAAAAGGCAUUUUCCUUCCAUCUGUAUGGGCUUUGAAUCAUAAAGCGUUGUACCUAGUGGUACCUAGUGACUUUCAACCAGGGCCUGUGAGUGUGCACUGAGUUGGUAAGAUGAACGGAGAGGAGGCAGGAGGCCUCUUUAUUUUCAGGGUAGAAACCUUUAACUGAUAGAAGGGAAGAUCUCUACAAGAUACUGUUUAAAACAGUUUAAUGUCACUUGGUUUUCUCUUAAGGUACAUUGUGUACUAUAGUGGGCAAUUCUAUCAUUUGUUCGGAGGAUUUCAGUGUCCAUCUAUGGAAUCAGGAUUUUUAGCAAGUUUGCUUGUGGUUUUAUCUUGGCUUAUAAUAAUCAUUUUGGCUGGUCUGGUCACAGAUGCUAACCAUGAAACAUAUGUCCAGGCCUGUACCUUCAUCACUCUAGGAUGGUAAAGUGCUAUGCUCUCUUCUAUGGUUAUGAAUAUUUAUUAAGGUUGGAAUGACAUUUCAUUGAUUGUUCAGAUCACAGCUCAGUUCCUGUAGAAAACGAACUGUAAAAUUAUCUGAAGACCAUGCAAGAGGCAAAAUAAAACUUGAAGUGAAUAUG